rnacentral:rRNA from 1 species
AACGAACGCUGGCGGCAUGCCUAACACAUGCAAGUCGAACGAGAUCUUCGGGUCUAGUGGCGCACGGGUGCGUGACGCGUGGGAAUCUGCCCUUUGGUUCGGAAUAACAGUUGGAAACGACUGCUAAUACCGGAUGAUGACGAAAGUCCAAAGAUUUAUCGCCAGAGGAUGAGCCCGUGUAGGAUUAGCUAGUUGGUGUGGUAAAGGCGCACCAAGGCGACGAUCCUUAGCUGGUCUGAGAGGAUGAUCAGCCACACUGGGACUGAGACACGGCCCAGACUCCUACGGGAGGCAGCAGUGGGGAAUAUUGGACAAUGGGCGAAAGCCUGAUCCAGCAAUGCCGCGUGAGUGAUGAAGGCCUUAGGGUUGUAAAGCUCUUUUACCCGGGAUGAUAAUGACAGUACCGGGAGAAUAAGCUCCGGCUAACUCCGUGCCAGCCGCCGCGGUAA